UAGUGAGGCUAGUAUCGUCCACGUAGAUGUAAACAAAAUAAUGGUGAUUCGUUGAUGUGUAUGUUACCCAAAAUGUCGUGGAAAGUUGGAAAAAUGGUGGAAAAUUCACUGCCCUAUAAAAGGCACUAUGCAGAAAAGAGCGAUAGUAGUUGUGCAGUAACCGCCAUAGAGUGCCGGCUUGAUCUUCAAAGUUUCGAGAUAAAUUAAUAUUGUUUGUGCAGCCAAUUUGUGGUUGUGGCCGUUGUGUGGUGUUCUUUUAUAUUUAUUUUGUGGAAAUAACGACCAAAAAUUUCCGAACGAAAUCACCAACAUAACUGGCCUCAAAUAUCCCAAAAGUGGGGCCAGUGCAUUUGUCUUUUGCCCACUAUUUCAACUGUGGUUGUGGCAGCAACUUACUGAGAAGCCUCAUUCUUUGUACCAAGAAACGAAUAGAAAUUCCGGCAGUGUCAGCCUUUCCCACAAAUUGACAGUCACUGCAAUACCCGUGUGUUAGAUUGCGGAAAUGUAUGUGUAGGUAAUGCCAGUUGCCGCACAUUCAAGGUGGAGCACAAGGUAACCCUUAGAAUUUAAUUUUCUUAUAAAAAAGGACCUAAAGGAAGUGACGGCAGUUUCAUGCAAAAAAAAAAAA
rnacentral:sRNA from 1 species